GGCGCUUCCGCUCCGGGAAAGCGCAGCCGCCACCAUUUCUUUCGGUCUGGGAGGAAGCACUGAGUCACCCCGCGCUAGUGCCUCGGAAUGUCCGCUGCAGUUUAUACAGGAAACGUGAGACGAACACAGUCAUUCUGUCCCACCGCAUCGUUUUCAUCGCCCGUCUUGAAUCCGGAAGGGAGGGAAAGGAAGGACUUCCUGCCUCCUCAGAGCAUAGCCGCAGUUAUGCCUUCUCAGGACUCUGACUUUCCCCAGAAGGAACAUGAGAAAAUGACCGAGUUUCAGGUAAGUAAGGCAUUGCUUUCUGUCUUCUAAGGAUUUUAUUUCUCAGAGAUUAGGGACAUCUU
rnacentral:lncRNA from 1 species